rnacentral:rRNA from 1 species
CAGUAGGGAGGAAGGUAGUGUAGUUAACACCUGCAUUAUUUGACGUUACCUACAGAAGAAGCACCGGCUAACUCCGUGCCAGCAGCCGCGGUAAUACGGAGGGUGCGAGCGUUAAUCGGAAUUACUGGGCGUAAAGCGCAUGCAGGCGGCCUGUUAAGUCAGAUGUGAAAGCCCGGGGCGUUAACCUCGGAAUUGCAUUUGAAACUGGCAGGCUAGAGUCUUGUAGAGGGGGGUGGGAAGUUUCAGGUGUAGCGGUGAAAUGCGUAGAGAUCUGAAGGAAUACCAGUGGCGAAGGCGGCCCCCUGGACAAAGACUGACGCUCAGAUGCGAAAGCGUGGGGAGCAAACAGGAUUAGAUACCCUGGUAG